rnacentral:rRNA from 1 species
AACGUGGAGACAGGUGGUGCAUGGCUGUCGUCAGCUCGUGUCGUGAGAUGUUGGGUUAAGUCCCGCAACGAGCGCAACCCUCACCUCUUGUUGCCAUCAGGUCAUGCUGGGCACUCUAGAGGAACUGCCCCGGUCAACGGGGAGGAAGGCGGGGAUGACGUCAAAUCAUCAUGCCCCUUACGUCCUGGGCUACACACGUGCUACAAUGGCCGGUACAAAGGGAUGCCACACCGCGAGGUAGAGCUAAACCCAAAAAGCCGGUCUAAGUUCAGAUUGGAGUCUGCAACUCGACUCCAUGAAGGAGGAAUCGCUAGUAAUCGCGUAUCAGCACGACGCGGUGAAUACGUUCCCGGGCCUUGUACACACCGCCCGUCACACCACGAAAGCCUGCUGUACUCGAAGUCGCUGAG